GAAAUGCGAUAAGUAAUGUGAAUUGCAGAAUUCAGUGAAUCAUCGAAUCUUUGAACGCACCUUGCGCCCGCCAGAAUUCUGGCGGGCAUGCCUGUUCGAGCGUCAUUUCAACCCUCGAGCUCCCCUUUCGGGGGGAGCCCGGCGUUGGGGACCCGGCGCUAACAACGCCGGCCCCGAAAUGGAGUGGCGGCCCGUCCGCGGCGACCUCUGCGUAGUAACAACCACUCGCACCGGGACCCGGGCGCGGCCACGCCGUAAAACACCCCACCUUCCGAAUGUUGACCUCGAAUCAGGUAGGAAUACCCGCUGAACUUAAGC
rnacentral:misc_RNA from 1 species